ensembl:lncRNA
GAUAACAGGAAGUGCUAACAGCUGAUUCAGCAAAGUCUAAACUUAGUUUUGGAGAAUUCUAUUAUGUUUCUUUGGUUGUUUCUCUGUUUUAAAUCAAUCAGGGGGAGGAGGAUUUUAUAUCCUCAGGAGGAGAGGAGGACUUUAUAUCAUCAGCAGGAGGAGAGGAGGACUUUAUAUCAUCAGGAGGAGAGGAGGACUUUAUAUCAUCAGGAGGAGAGGAGGACUUUAUAUCAUCAGGAGGAGAGGAGGACUUUAUAUCAUCAGGAGGAGAGGACUUUAUAUCAUCAGGAGGAGGAGAGGAGGACUUUAUAUCAUCAGGAGGAGGAGAGGAGGACUUUAUAUCAUCAGGAGGAGGAGAGGAGGACUUUAUAUCAUCAGGAGGAGGAGAGGAGGACUUUAUAUCACCAGGAGGAGGAGAGGAGGACUUUAUAUCAUCAGGAGGAGGAGAGGAGGACUUUAUAUCAUCAGGAGGAGGAGAGGAGGACUUUAUAUCCUCAGGAGGGAGAGGAGGACUUUAUAUCCAUCAGGAGGAGGAGAGGAGGACUUUAUAUCCUCAGGAGGAGAGGAGGACUUUAUAUCAUCAGGAGGAGGAGAGGAGGACUUUAUAUCAUCAGGAGGAGAGGAGGACUUUAUAUCAUCAGGAGGAGAGGAGGACUUUACAUCAUCAGGAGGAGGAGAGGAGGACUUUAUAUCAUCAGGAGGAGGAGAGGAGGACUUUAUAUCAUCAGGAGGAGGAGAGGGAGGACUUUAUAUCAUCAGGAGGAGGAGAGGAGGACUUUAUAUCAUCAGGAGGAGAGGAGGACUUUAUAUCAUCAGGAGGAGGAGAGGAGGACUUUAUAUCAUCAGGAGCAGAGGAGGACUUUAUAUCAUCAGGAGGAGGAGAGGAGGACUUUAUAUCAUCAGGGAGGAGGAGAGGAGGACUUUAUAUCAUCAGGAGGAGGAGAGGAGGACUUUAUAUCAUCAGGAGGAGGAGAGGAGGACUUUAUAUCGUCAGGAGGAGGAGAGGAGGACUUUAUAUCAUCAGGAGGAGGAGAGGAGGACUUUAUAUCAUCAGGGAGGAGGAGAGGAGGACUUUAUAUCAUCGGGAGGAGGAGAGGAGGACUUUAUAUCAUCAGGAGGAGAGGAGGACUUUAUAUCAUCAGGAGGAGAGGAGGACUUAUAUCAUCAGGAGGACUUUAUAUCAUCAGGAGGAGAGGAGGACUUUAUAUCAUCAGGAGGAGGAGAGGAGGACUUAUAUCAUCAGGAGGAGGAGAGGAGGACUUUAUAUCAUCAGGAGGAGGAGAGGAGGACUUUAUAUCAUCAGGAGGAGGAGAGGAGGACUUUAUAUCAUCAGGAGGAGAGGAGGACUUUAUAUCAUCAGGGAGGAUGAGAGGAGGACUUUAUAUCAUCAGGAGGAGGAGAGGAGGACUUUAUAUCAUCAUGAGGGAGAGAGGACUUAUAUCAUCAGGAGGAGGAGAGGAGGACUUUAUAUCAUCAGGAGGAGGAGAGGAGGACUUUAUAAUCAUCAGGAGGAGGAGAGGAGGACUUUAUAUCAGCAGGAGGAGAGGAGGACUUUAUAUCAUCAGGAGGAGGAGAGGAGGACUUUAUAUCAUCAGGAGGAGAGGAGGACUUUAUAUCAUCAGAGGAGAGGAGGAGGACUUUAUAUCAUCAGGAGGAGGAGAGGAGGACUUUAUAUCAUCGGGAGGAGGAGAGGAGACUUUAUAUCAUCAGGAGGAGGAGAGGAGGACUUUAUAUCAUCAGGAGGAGAGGAGGACUUUAUAUCAUCGGGAGGAGGAGAGGAGGACUUUAUAUCAUCAGGAGAGGAGAGGAGGACUUUAUAUCAUCGGAGGAGGAGAGGAGGACUUUAUAUCAUCAGGAGGAGCAGAGGAGGACUUUAUAUCAUCAGGAGGAGGAGAGGAGGACUUUAUAUCAUCAGGAGGAGAGGACAGGAGAGGAGGAGGGACUUUAUAUCAUCAGGAGGAGAGGAGGACUUUAUAUCAUCAGGAGGAGGAGAGGAGGACUUUAUAUCAUCAGGAGGAGAGAGGAGGACUUAUAUCAUCAGGAGGAGAGAAGGAGGACUUUAUAUCAUCAGGAGGAGGAGAGGAGGACUUUAUAUCAUCAGGAGGAGGAGAGGAGGACUUUAUAUCAUCAGGAGGAGGAGAGGAGACUUUAUAUCAUCAGGAGGAGGAGAGGAGGACUUUAUAUCAUCAGGAGGAGGAGAGGAGGACUUUAUAUCAUCAGGAGGAGGAGAGGAGGACUUUAUAUCAUCAGGAGGAGGAGAGGAGGACUUUAUAUCAUCAGGAGGAGGAGAGGAGGACUUUAUAUCAUCAGGAGGAGGAGAGGAGGACUUUAUAUCAUCAGGAGGAGGAGAGGAGGACUUUAUAUCACUCAGGAGGAGGAGAGGACAGAGGAGGGCAGAGGAGGACUUUAUAUCAUCAGGAGGAGGAGAGGAGAGGAGGACUUAUAUCAUCAGGAGGAGGAGAGGAGGACUUUAUAUCAUCAGGAGGAGGAGAGGAGGACUUUAUAUCAUCAGGAGGAGAGGACUUUGAGGUUAAUAUAUUUGGGUGAAAUACUCUUUUACAGGAGUUUCUUGAAGCUAAAUUACAAA